rnacentral:rRNA from 1 species
GAUGAACGCUGGCGGCGUGCCUAAUACAUGCAAGUCGAGCGAACGGACCAGAAGCUUGCUUCUCUGAUGUUAUCGCCGGACGGGUGAUUCACACGUGGAUAACCUACCUCUCAGACUGGGAUAACUUCGGGAAACCGGAUCUACUACCCGAUAAUAUUUUGACCCGCAUGGUUCAAAAGUGAAAGACGGUCUUGCUGUCGCUUAUAGAUGGAUCCGCGCUGCAUUAGCUAGUUGGUAAGGUGACGGCUUACCAAGGCAACGAUGCAUAGCCGACCUGAAAGGGUGAUCGGCCACACUGGAACUGAGACACGGUCGAGACUCCUGCGGGAGGAAGCAGCAGGGAAUCUUCCGGAAUGGGCGAAAGCCGGACGGAGCAACGCCGCGUGAGUGAUGAAGGUCUUCGGAUCGGAAAACUCUGUUAGUAGGGAAGAACAUAUGUGUAAGUAACUGUGCACAUCUUGACGGUACCUAAUCAGAAAGCCACGGCUAACUACGUG